GAUGAACGCUGGCGGCGUGCCUAAUACAUGCAAGUCGAGCGAACAGACGAGGAGCUUGCUCCUCUGACGUUAGCGGCGGACGGGUGAGUAACACGUGGAUAACCUACCUAUAAGACUGGGAUAACUUCGGGAAACCGGAGCUAAUACCGGAUAAUAUAUUGAACCGCAUGGUUCAAUAGUGAAAGACGGUUUUGCUGUCACUUAUAGAUGGAUCCGCGCCGCAUUAGCUAGUUGGUAAGGUAACGGCUUACCAAGGCAACGAUGCGUAGCCGACCUGAGAGGGGGACCAGCAAAACUGGCACUGAGACACGGUAGAGACUCCUACGGGAGGCAGCAGUGGGGAAUUUUGGGCAAUGGGCGAAAGCCUGAUGGAGCAAUGCCGCGUGAGGGAAGAAGUGCUUCGAAUUAUAAACUUCUUUUAUUAGGAAAGAAAAAGAGCGUAUGAAAAUACGGAGCGAGUGAAGGUACCUAAAGAACAAGCCAGGGCAAACUACGUG
rnacentral:rRNA from 1 species